rnacentral:rRNA from 1 species
GAUGAACGCUGGCGGCGUGCCUAAUACAUGCAAGUCGAGCGAACGGACGAGAAGCUUGCUUCUCUGAUGUUAGCGGCGGACGGGUGAGUAACACGUGGAUAACCUACCUAUAAGACUGGGAUAACUUCGGGAAGCCGUAGCUAAUACCGGAUAAUAUUUUGAACCGCAUGGUUCAAAAGUGAAAGACGGUCUUGCUGUCACUUAUAGAUGGAUCCGCGCUGCAUUAGAUAGUUGGUAAGGUAACGGCUUACCAAGGCAACGAUGCAUAGCCGACCUGAGAGGGUGAUCGGCCACACUGGAACUGAGACACGGUCCAGACUCCUACGGGAGGCAGCAGUAGGGAAUCUUCCGCAAUGGGCGAAAGCCUGACGGAGCAACGCCGCGUGAGUGAUGAAGGUCUUCGGAUCGUAAAACUCUGUUAUUAGGGAAGAACAUAUGUGUAAGUAACUGUGCACAUCUUGACGGUACCUAAUCAGAAAGCCACGGCUAACUACGUG